AGUGAACGCUGGCGGUAGGCCUAACACAUGCAAGUCGAACGGCAGCACAGUAAGAGCUUGCUCUUACGGGUGGCGAGUGGCGGACGGGUGAGGAAUACAUCGGAAUCUACUUUUUCGUGGGGGAUAACGUAGGGAAACUUACGCUAAUACCGCAUACGACCUACGGGUGAAAGCAGGGGAUCUUCGGACCUUGCGCGAUUGAAUGAGCCGAUGUCGGAUUAGCUAGUUGGCGGGGUAAAGGCCCACCAAGGCGACGAUCCGUAGCUGGUCUGAGAGGAUGAUCAGCCACACUGGAACUGAGGCAAGGUCCAGACUCCUAAGGGAGGCAGCAGUGGGGAAUAUUGGACAAUGGGCGCAAGCCUGAUCCAGCCAUACCGCGUGGGUGAAGAAGGCCUUCGGGUUGUAAAGCCCUUUUGUUGGGAAAGAAAAGCAGCAGGUUAAUACCCCGCUGUUCUGACGGUACCCAAAGAAUAAGCACCGGCUAACUUCGUG
rnacentral:rRNA from 1 species